rnacentral:rRNA from 1 species
GGCUCAUUAUAUAAGUUAUCGUUUAUUUGAUAAUACUUUACUACUUGGAUAACCGUGGUAAUUCUAGAGCUAAUACAUGCUGAAAAUCCCGACUUCGGAAGGGAUGUAUUUAUUAGAUUAAAAACCAAUGCCCCUCGGGGCUCUCUGGUGAAUCAUGAUAACUAGUCGAAUCGACAGGCCUUGUGCCGGCGAUGGCUCAUUCAAAUUUCUUCCCUAUCAACUUUCGAUGUUUGGGUAUUGGCCAAACAUGGUGGCAACGGGUAACGGAGGGUUAGGGCUCGACCCCGGAGAAGGAGCCUGAGAAACGGCUACUACAUCCAAGGAAGGCAGCAGGCGCGCAAAUUACCCAAUCCCGACACGGGGAGGUAGUGACAAUAAAUACUGAUACAGGGCUCUUUUGGGUCUUGUAAUCGGAAUGAGUACAAUUUAAAUCCCUUAACGAGGAACAAUUGGAGGGCAAGUCUGGUGCCAGCAGCCGCGGUAAUUCCAGCUCCAAUAGCGUAUAUUAAAGUUGUUGUGGUUAAAAAGCUCGUAGUUGAACCUUGGGCCUGGCUGGCCGGUCCGCCUCACCGCGUGCACUGGUCCGGCCGGGCCUUUCCCUCUGCGGAACC